rnacentral:rRNA from 1 species
UACGUAGGGGGCGAGCGUUGUCCGGAAUCAUUGGGCGUAAAGAGCGUGUAGGCGGCUUGGCAAGUCUGACGUGAAAGCCCGCGGCUCAACCGCGGAUUGUCGUUGGAAACUGCCUCGCUAGAGUCCGGAAGAGGAGAGCGGAAUUCCUGGUGUAGCGGUGAAAUGCGCAGAUAUCAGGAGGAACACCGAUGGCGAAGGCCAGGUCUCUGGGCUGACACUGACGCUCAUGCACGAAAGCGUGGGGAGCA